GAGGCGGCUGAAAUGUACACGCAUUUUAUGGUUUAUCGCUCACUGUUUGAUAACCUAGGCCCGUAUUUAAUUUUUUUAAAAAAAAGGACUUACGUGAGAGAUAAAAUUAUGAACCCGCUACUCUUACUCCGAAACACCAACUUAAGAAGAAAAGAUGCGACAAUGGAUGCACUUGAAGAGGAAGGGGACCUACCUGGCCUGAGGCUGCAUGUGAACGGGGCCCAGAUGUUUGUGCUACACCACUGGAUGUUGAGGCAGAUGGCCGCCCACCGUGAGCCGGGUUCU